rnacentral:rRNA from 1 species
AGAGUUUGAUCAUGGCUCAGAACGAACACUGGCGGCGUGGAUUAGGCAUGCAAGUCGAACGGGAAAGCUCCCUUCGGGGAGUGAGUAUAGUGGCGAACGGGUGAGUAACGCGUGGGAAACCUGCCCUUUGGUGGGGGAUAACAGUCCUAACGGGCUGCUAAUACCGCAUACGACCUUCUGGACGCCUGUCCGGGAGGAGAAAGGUGGCCUCUUCAUGAAAGCUGCCGCUGAAGGAUGGUCCCGCGUCCCAUUAGCUUGUUGGUGGGGUAAUGGCCUACCAAGGCGACGAUGGGUAGCCGGCCUGAGAGGGUGUCCGGCCACACUGGGACUGAGAUACGGCCCAGACUCCUACGGGAGGCAGCAGUCGAGAAGCUUCGGCAAUGGGCGAAAGCCUGACCGAGCGACGCCGCGUGAGCGAUGAAGGUCUUAUAGAUUGUAAAGCUCUGUCAGAUUGGGAAGAAAACUCCGGGGUUAAUACCCUCGGAGCUUGACGGUACCAUCAGAGGAAGCACCGGCUAACUCCGUGCCAGCAGCCGCGGUAAUACGGAGGGUGCAAGCGUUGUUCGGAUUCACUGGGUAUAAAGGGUGCGCAGGCGGCCUGAUAAGUCAGGGGUGAAAUAUGUCGGCUUAACCGGCAAACUGCCUCUGAAACUGUCAGGCUUGAGUCCGGGAGAGGAAGGUGGAAUUCCUGGUGUAGCGGUGAAAUGCGUAAAUAUCAGGAGGAACACCGGUGGCGAAGGCGGCCUUCUGGCCCGGUACUGACGCUCAGGCACGAAAGCAUGGGGAGCGAACGGGAUUAGAUACCCCGGUAGUCCAUGCCGUAAACGAUGGGCACUAGGUGUUGGAGGAGUCUACCCCUUCAGUGCCGCAGCUAACGCAUUAAGUGCCCCACCUGGGGAGUACGAUCGCAAGGUUGAAACUCAAAGGAAUUGACGGGGGCCCGCACAAGCGGUGGAGCAUGUGGUUUAAUUCGAUGCAACGCGAAGAACCUUACCUGGACUUGACAUGCAGGAGACAGGUGUAGAAAUACACCCUCCUUCGGGUUCCUGCACAGGUGCUGCAUGGCUGUCGUC